rnacentral:rRNA from 1 species
GACGAACGCUGGCGGCGUGCUUAACACAUGCAAGUCGAGCGGUAAGGCCCUUUGGGGUACACGAGCGGCGAACGGGUGAGUAACACGUGAGUAAUCUGCCUUUGGCUUGGGAAUAACUUCGGGAAAUCGGGGCUAAUGCCUGAUGUUUACUGUCUGCUGCAUGGUGGGUGGUGGAAAGAUUUUUUGGCCAGGGAUGAGCUCGCGGUCUAUCAGCUUGUUGGUGGGGUAAUGGCUUACCAAGGCUUUGACGGGUAGCCGGCCUGAGAGGGUGUUCGGCCACACUGGGACUGAGACACGGCCCAGACUCCUACGGGAGGCAGCAGUGGGGAAUAUUGCGCAAUGGGCGUAAGCCUGACGCAGCGACGCCGCGUGGGGAUGAAGGCCUU